UACAGAGGGUGCGAGCGUUAAUCGGAAUUACUGGGCGUAAAGCGCGCGUAGACGGUUUUGUAAGUCAGAUGUGAAAUCCCUGGGCUCAACCUGGGAACUGCAUUUGAGACUGCAUGGCUAGAGUAUGGAAGAGGGAAGUGGAAUUUCCGGUGUAGCGGUGAAAUGCGUAGAUAUGUGGAGGAACACCGGUGGCGAAAGCGGUUUUCUAGUUUAUACCUGACGCUGAGGCGCGAGAGCAAGGGGAGCAAACAGG
rnacentral:rRNA from 1 species